GAUCCUGGCUCAGGAUGAACGCUAGCUACAGGCUUAACACAUGCAAGUCGAGGGGCAGCAUUUUUAUAGCAAUAUAAAAGAUGGCGACCGGCGCACGGGUGAGUAACACGUAUCCAACCUGCCUUACACUCUUGGACAGCCUUCUGAAAGGGAGAUUAAUACAAGAUGUUAUCAUGAGUAAGCAUUUUCGCAUGAUUAAAGGUUUACCGGUGUAAGAUGGGGAUGCGUUCCAUUAGA
rnacentral:rRNA from 1 species